rnacentral:rRNA from 1 species
UUAGUUUAUUUUUAUUAUUUCUUAGAGGAAGUGAUAAUAAAUAAUUUAUAACCUAAAGAUGGAUAUAAGAUUAGUUAGUUGUUUUCAGGCUUGUUUUAGAGGAGGGAGUAUAAUAAUAUUAUAUAGAGGUUGGUUGACUGAGUGGUUUAAAGUGUAAUAUUUGAGCUAUUAUUAAUUGAUAAAAUUACGUAGGUUCGAAUCCUACACCAUCCGUAUUAUAAAAAGAUUUAUAAGUAAUAAAAAGAUA